GGACGAACGCUGGCGGCGUGCUUAACCCAUGCAAGUCGAACGGUAAGGCCUUUCGGGGUCCACGAGUGGCGAACGGGUGAGUAACACGUGGGUGAUCUGCCCUGCACUUCGGGAUAAGCCCGGGAAACUGGGUCUAAUACCGGAUAGGACUGCGCGGUGCAUGCCGUGUGGUGGAAAGAUUUAUCGGUGCAGGAUGGGCCCGCGGCCUAUCAGCUUGUUGGUGGGGUAAUGGCCUACCAAGGCGACGACGGGUAGCCGGCCUGAGAGGGCGACCGGCCACACUGGGACUGAGACACGGCCCAGACUCCUACGGGAGGCAGCAGUGGGGAAUAUUGCACAAUGGGCGCAAGCCUGAUGCAGCGACGCCGCGUGAGGGAUGACGGCCUUCGGGUUGUAAACCUCUUUCAGCAGGGACGAAGCGUGAGUGACGGUACCUGCAGAAGAAGCACCGGCCAACUACGUG
rnacentral:rRNA from 1 species